rnacentral:rRNA from 1 species
CAGCAUUCAGUUGGGCACUCUAGCAAGACUGCCGGUGACAAACCGGAGGAAGGUGGGGAUGACGUCAAAUCAUCAUGCCCCUUAUGACCUGGGCUACACACGUGCUACAAUGGACGGUACAACGAGUUGCGAAACCGCGAGGUCAAGCUAAUCUCUUAAAGCCGUUCUCAGUUCGGAUUGUAGGCUGCAACUCGCCUACAUGAAGUUGGAAUCGCUAGUAAUCGUGGAUCAGCAUGCCACGGUGAAUACGUUCCCGGGCCUUGUACACACCGCCCGUCACACCAUGAGAGUUUGUAACACCCAAAGCCGGUGAGGUAACCUUCGGGGACCAGCCGUCUAAGGUGGGACAGAUGAUUAGGGUGAAGUCGUAACAAGGUAGCCGUAGGAGAACCUGCGGCUGGAUCACCUCCUUUCUAAGGAA